rnacentral:rRNA from 1 species
GACGAACCUUGCUAACGUUAUUCGGAAUUAUUGGGCGUAAAGAGCUCGUAGGCGGUUUGUCGCGUCUGCUGUGAAAUCCCGAGGCUCAACCUCGGGUCUGCAGUGGGUACGGGCAGACUGGAGUGCGGUAGGGGAGAAUGGAAUUCCUGGUGUAGCGGUGAAAUGCGCAGAUAUCAGGAAGAACACCUAUGGCGAAGGCAGCUCUCUGGGACGGUACUGACGCUGAGACGCGAAAGCGUGGGGAGCGAACAGG